UCAACCGGAAAAAAAAUUCUCAUCACUGAUGCAGGGGCCGCCGCCCUCCUCACCCUUCAUGGCCGUUGUGUGCGCAGCGACGCAUCCGUCCGCCGAUCCGACCUCCUUUGUGGCUUCGCCGGGCCAGACGUUUCUGCCACGGACACGGCCCGAUGCGCCGCGAGGCCGUACCGGGAGGAGCAGCGCCGGGUACGUCGCCUCGCGUCGGAGGGACCCCAUCAGCCAAACCGAUGGGCAUCGCCGGGAGAGGCCGGGAAGCGCCGCCGCCGUCCCUUAGCGGAGAGUCCUCUCCUCUGCACGUUCCAAGGACCACCGUGUGCCUCGCGGCAUGUUAGGCACACGAGGGUCACUCCAGGACGACGAGCACGUUUUGCACGGUCUACGGCGGGAACGUGGCCCAUCCUUUCACAACAUCCAUCAUCCCCUCGAUCUGCCCAUCUCCUCCUUCUAUUUGUCUUUUCUGUUCAGUCCAUACAGUAUGUAGUAGCAUGUGCAGAGUUUGCACCUAAAGAUCUUUCUCUUGAGUAACAUAUAUACUGAGUAGUAAAACUAAUCAGUAGAGUAGACGUGAAUAGUUAGAGCAUUACCAAUGAAAAAUCCAAACUGCUCUCUCCUGUGUAAUAUUGUCCAACCUAACUGAAAUCCACUCUAGACUCUAUGCAUGUGUGCUUUUGACUUUUCAUCAUUUCAAUGCAGCAUGUAAGGAGGCUAAUAACUGCACGGUUAAUCUGAGUUCAUCAUGAACUUUGUGUGUGACAUGGUAAAGAGAAUCAUUCUUUUUUAAUCUGCUUGAGAUUGUCAGGAACAGCAAGUGUUCAUUUUUGUACUAAUUGUUUUCAUAUAUUUGGUUAAUCUCUUCAUGGAACAUAUUUCUUACAAACCAUAAUAUUGUUACCUUCAAUUGGUGGAGAAAAACAUGUAGAUCCAAAACGUGAACUAAUUUAGAUGUAAUGGUAUAAAUCCAAUUAACAUAGGUAGAAUUGAAAUGGCAUUUAAAUUAAUAUCACUGUUCUUUUUAUGUAGAACCAAAUAAAUCUGCUUUUGCCGACAGUUUAUGUACGGAAUUAAUCUGCAAGAAUUAAGUUUAGGCAACUGAUGCAUAGCUUUCUAAGGCUAUGAACUACCGCCACAUUGGAUGGCCAUCCAUGAAGAACUAAGACUAAUUAAGUGGUGAGAGUGAAGGAGUGGAAUGCAAGGAAUAUGCCAGGAUAUUGCUUUCAGCUGAUGCCUACAAGUUUGUCCAGAAAAUCAAGUUUGUGGGUUUACAUUGGCAGUUCUUUUUUCUGGGUAGAUAAAUUGUUCAGGGAACUUGCAACUUCGAAUGCUUUAUUGCUGUGCAGGCAUUACAUAUAGUUGUAAGCUCAUAAUUAUGUCAUGGAAAUAUAACUUUUCUAGGCAAACAAAAUUUCUCACCAUUCACAUUAACUUCCUAUGUUAGCCCUCUUGAACUUAUAGGGAUAUUUGGUGUCUGCAGGAGUGCAACAAAAUUCAAGCACACUGCAUUGCUCUGCUGCAAUGUUUAAGUCUUUUGUGUCAAAUAGACCCAGAAAAACAUUGCUACUUUUCGUUUUCAUGGCACACAGGCCAUCGAUUUGUUGUGCAACUUAGCUGAAUGUUCUGAU